rnacentral:tRNA from 1 species
AGCGGGUGUAGUUUAGUGGUAAAACUACAGCCUUCCAAGCUGUCGUCGCGAGUUCGAUUCUCGUCACCCGCUU